rnacentral:rRNA from 1 species
AUUGAACGCUGGCGGCAGGCUUAACACAUGCAAGUCGAGCGGGGUGAUGGUGCUUGCACUAUCACUUAGCGGCGGACGGGUGAGUAAUGCUUAGGAAUCUGCCUAUUAGUGGGGGACAACAUCUCGAAAGGGAUGCUAAUACCGCAUACGUCCUACGGGAGAAAGCAGGGGAUCACUUGUGACCUUGCGCUAAUAGAUGAGCCUAAGUCGGAUUAGCUAGUUGGUGGGGUAAAGGCCUACCAAGGCGACGAUCUGUAGCGGGUCUGAGAGGAUGAUCCGCCACACUGGGAUUGAGACACGGCCCAGACUCCUACGGGAGGCAGCAGUGGGGAAUAUUGGACAAUGGGGGGAACCCUGAUCCAGCCAUGCCGCGUGUGUGAAGAAGGCCUUAUGGUUGUAAAGCACUUUAAGCGAGGAGGAGGCUCCUUUGGUUAAUACCCAAGAUGAGUGGACGUUACUCGCAGAAUAAGCACCGGCUAACUCUGUGCCAGCCGCCGCAGUAA